GCAGGAUGAAGGCCUUCGGGUUGUAAACUGCUUUUGUACGGAGCGAAACGGCUCUCACUAAUACUGGGGGCUAAUGACGGUACCGUAAGAAUAAGCACCGGCUAACUACGUGCCAGCAGCCGCGGUAAUACGUAGGGUGCGAGCGUUAAUCGGAAUUACUGGGCGUAAAGCGUGCGCAGGCGGUGCUGUAAGACAGGCGUGAAAUCCCCGGGCUCAACCUGGGAAUUGCGCUUGUGACUGCAGUGCUGGAGUGCGGCAGAGGGGGAUGGAAUUCCGCGUGUAGCAGUGAAAUGCGUAGAUAUGCGGAGGAACACCGAUGGCGAAGGCAAUCCCCUGGGCCUGCACUGACGCUCAUGCACGAAAGCGUGGGGAGCAAACAGGAUUAGAUACCCUGGUAGUCCACGCCCUAAACGAUGUCAACUGGUUGUUGGGUCUUCACUGACUCAGUAACGAAGCUAACGCGUGAAGUUGACCGCCUGGGGAGUACGGCCGCAAGGUUG
rnacentral:rRNA from 1 species